AUGUUGCGGUAAUUUGGUCUCUGUGUGUAAACUAACCACGGUAACCUGUGGCUAAAAGCGGAGAAUAAGGCGCAACCCUAUCAGCUUGUUGGUAGUGUAAAGGACUACCAAGGCCAUGACGGGUAACGGGAAAUCAGGGUUUGAUUCCGGAGAGGGAGCCUGAGAGAUGGCUCCCACGUCCAAGGACGGCAGCAGGCGCGAAACUUGUCCACUCCUUACGGGGGAGACAGUCAUGAGACGUGAGUAUAAGACCUGAAUGUAAAGACCUUAGGGUGAAGCAAUUGGAGGGCAAGCUUUGGUGCCAGCAGCCGCGGUAACUCCAACUCCAAGAGUGUCUAUGGUGGAUGCUG
rnacentral:rRNA from 1 species